GACGAACGCUGGCGGCGUGCUUAACGCAUUAACACAUGCAAGUCGAACGGAAAGGCCUCUUCGGAGGUACUCGAGUGGCGAACGGGUGAGUAACACGUGGGCAAUCUGCCCUGCACUUCGGGAUAAGCCUGGGAAACUGGGUCUAAUACCGGAUAGGACCUCAAGACGCAUAACCGUAGAAGUCUCUUCUGGUGGAAAGCUUUUGCGGUGUGGGAUGGGCCCGCGGCCUAUCAGCUUGUUGGUGGGGUGACGGCCUACCCCAAAGGCGACGACGGGUAGCCGGCCUGAGAGGGUGUCCGGCCACACUGGGACUGAGAUACGGCCCAGACUCCUACCCAGGGAGGCAGCAGUGGGGAAUAUUGCACAAUGGGCGCAAGCCUGAUGCAGCGACGCCGCGUGGGGGAUGACGGCCUUCGGGUUGUAAACCUCUUUCACCAUCGACGAAGGUCCGGGUUUUCUCGGAUUGACGGUAGGUGGAGAACCAGAAGCACCGGCCAACUACGUGCCAGCAGCCGCGGUAAUACGUAGGGUGCGAGCGUUGUCCGGAAUUACUGGGCCCGUAAAGAGCUCGUAGGUGGUUUGUCGCGUUGUUCGUGAAAUCUCACGGCUUAACUGUGAGCGUGCGGGCGAUAACCACGGGCAGACUAGAGUACUGCAGGGGAGACUGGAAUUCCUGGUGUAGCGGUGGAAUGCGCAGAUAUCAGGAGGAACGUUACACCGGUGGCGAAGGCGGGUCUCUGGGCAGUAACUGACGCUGAGGAGCGAAAGCGUGGGGAGCGAACAGGAUUAGAUACCCUGGUAGUCCACGCCGUAAACGGUGGGUACUAGGUGUGGGUUUCCUUCCUUGGGAUCCGUGCCGACCUAGCUAACGCAUUAAGUACCCCGCCUGGGGAGUACGGCCGCAAGGCUAAAACUCAAAGGAAUUGACGGGGGCCACCCGCACAAGCGGCGGAGCAUGUGGAUUAAUUCGAUGCAACGCGAAGAACCUUACCUGGGUUUGACAUGCACAGGAACCACGCGUCUAGAGAUAGGCGUUCCCUUGUGGCCUGUGUGCAGGUGGUGCAUGGCUGUCGUCAGCUCGUGUCGUGAACCGAUGUUGGGUUAAGUCCCGCAACGAGCGCAACCCUUGUCUCAUGUUGCCAGCGGGUAAUGCCGGGGACUCGUGCACAAGAGACUGCCGGGGUCAACCCGGAGGAAGGUGGGGAUGACGUCAAGUCAUCAUGCCCCUUAUGUCCAGGGCUUCACAC
rnacentral:rRNA from 1 species